GAUGAACGCUGGCGGCGUGCUUAAUACAUGCAAGUCGAGCGAAAAGACGAGGCGCUUGUUCCUUUGACGUUAGCGGCGGACGGGUGAGUAACACGUGGAUCACCUACCUAUCAGACUGGGAUAACUUCGGGACACCGGCGCUAAUCCCGUAUAAUAUCUUGAUCCGCAUGGUUCAAUAGUGAAUGACGGUUUUGCUGUCACUUCUCGCUGGUUACGCGCUGCAUUAGCUAGUUGGUAAGGUAACGGCCUACCAAGGCAAGGAUGCGUAGCCGACCGGCUAGAGGGAUCGCCGACACUGGAAGUGGAACACGGUCCAGACUCCUACGAGAGGCAGCAGUAGGGAAUGGUACGCAAUGGGCGAGAGCUUGACGGAGCAAGGCGACGUGAGUGAUGAAGGUGUUCGGAUCGUAAAACUCUGUUAUGAGGUAAGAACAAAUGUGGAAGGAACUGUACACGUCGUGACGGUACCGAAUCAGAAAGCCACGGCUAACUACGUG
rnacentral:rRNA from 1 species